rnacentral:rRNA from 1 species
GUCUUGAAACACGGACCAAGGAGUCUAACAUGUGCGCGAGUCAUUGGGAAUGAAAAACCUAAAGGCGCAAUGAAAGUGAAGGUCGACCUAGCGUCGACCGAGGGAGGAUGGGCCGCGUUACGACGCGGCUCCGCACUCCCGGGGCGUCUCGUUCUCAUUGCGAGAAGAGGCGCACCCAGAGCGUACACGUUGGGACCCGAAAGAUGGUGAACUAUGCCUGGUCAGGACGAAGUCAGGGGAAACCCUGAUGGAGGUCCGUAGCGAUUCUGACGUGCAAAUCGAUCGUCGGAACUGGGUAUAGGGGCGAAAGACUAAUCGAACCAUCUAGUAGCUGGUUCCCUCCGAAGUUUCCCUCAGGAUAGCUGGCACUCGCCCGUUCUUGCGAACGUGCGCGAGUCUCAUCUGGUAAAGCGAAUGAUUAGAGGCCUUGGGGCCGAAACGACCUCAACCUAUUCUCAAACUUUAAAUGGGUGAGAUCUCUGGCUUGCUUGAACGUUGAAGCCACGAGAUAUCGGAUCAGAGUGCCAAGUGGGCCAAUUUU